UCUCCGUUGGUGAACCAGCGGAGGGAUCAUUACAGAGUUUUCUAAACUCCCAACCCAUGUGAACUUACCACUGUUGCCUCGGCGGCGCCCUACUCCCUAGGGGGUGCGGGACCGCCGGUGGACCACACCAAAACUCUUGUUGUUACAGUGUCAUUCUGAAUUUAAAAACUUAAUCAGUUAAAACUUUCAACAACGGAUCUCUUGGUUCUGGCAUCGAUGAAGAACGCAGC
rnacentral:misc_RNA from 1 species